GCUUUUGCCUGACGCUGCCAGUCAGCUCUUUUCUUAACAAAGUGGUACGUCCUGGGGCUUAGCCCGAGUGGAAAGCACCAGAGGCAUCACUUUCAUGGUUUCUUUCACCUGACCAAAGACCAUGUAUUUUCCAUCCCACCACUGAGUCUUUACAGUAGAGAAGAAAAGCCACUGAACCAUUCGUGUUGGGACAAAGUGAAUGAACCUGUUUACUUCAGGAUGAAGUUCAAAUUUUUCCCUUAAGAUUGACUUGCCACCAGUGCUAUCAUAGCCCUGCUGUGAGUUGCUACUCUGGUGCAUAAGCCUAAGAAAGAUUCUGUGAAAGCUGGAGUCCUUGUAACAAAAUUCAUCCUCACCAUAUUAAGAGCAUUUAAAUUUCCUGCUGCUUUUGAAACUUUGUCAAUAGAGACCUCAAAAGUGACGGAGCCCAGGGACAAGGUGAGAGAGAUGGGCCAUGGUUAGAGAGAGUUUGUUCUGAAAACAGCAGUGACUAUUGCCUCCCUUGUUCUGAACAUUAUACAGAAGUAUUAGUGCAACCAAAGAUAAGCUGCCAUAUCACACUGCUGGCUCUUUCUGAACAUGAAGGGAGAAAGACGAC